UGCAGUCGAGGGGCAGCGCAGGUAGCAAUACUGGGCGGCGACCGGCAAACGGGUGCGGAACACGUACGUAACCUUCCUUUAAGUGGGAGAUAGCCCGAAGAAAUUCGGAUUAAUACCCCAUAAGAUUGUGGAGUGGCAUCACUCAGCAAUUAAAGAAAUUCGCUUAAAGAUGGGCGUGCGGCUGAUUAGGUAGUUGGUGAGGUAACGGCUCACCAAGCCAACGAUCAGUAACUGGCGUGAGAGCGCGACCAGUCACACGGGCACUGAGACACGGGCCCGACUCCUACGGGAGGCAGCAGUAAGGAAUAUUGGUCAAUGGACGCAAGUCUGAACCAGCCAUGCCGCGUGAAGGAUGAAGGUCCUCUGGAUUGUAAACUUCUUUUAUAUGGGAAGAAACCACUUUUUUCUAAAGGUGUUGACGGUACCAUAGGAAUAAGCACCGGCUAACUCCGUGCCAGCAGCCGCGGUAAUACGGAGGGUGCAAGCGUUAUCCGGAUUCACUGGGUUUAAAGGGUGCGUAGGCGGAUUAGUAAGUCCGUGGUGAAAUCUCCGAGCUUAACUCGGAAACUGCCGUGGAUACUAUUAAUCUUGAAUACUGUGGAGGUUAGCGGAAUAUGUCAUGUAGCGGUGAAAUGCAUAGAUAUGACAUAGAACACCAAUUGCGAAGGCAGCUGGCUACACAGAGAUUGACGCUGAGGCACGAAAGCGUGGGGAUCAAACAGGAUUAGAUACCCUGGUAGUCCACGCCCUAAACGAUGAUUACUCGACAUUUGCGAUAUACAGUAAGUGUCUGAGCGAAAGCAUUAAGUAAUCCACCUGGGAAGUACGACCGCAAGGUUGAAACUCAAAG
rnacentral:rRNA from 1 species